rnacentral:misc_RNA from 1 species
GGACCCUGGACCACAUAACAGCACCAUAUUGGUAUAUAUGUUAAGCUGCUCAUGAACACAAUGUAAUUAUUUAAUAAAACACAUCCGGUAUAAGAUUCCAUGAAUUAAAUAGAAUCACAAUGACCAUGAGCCCUGGAACUGAAGCAACAGAAAGCAUUAACUGAAACACAAACUACAUUCAGAAUCAUUCAAACUAGAGAUUACAUGCAUGUGCAGCACAUUCAAUCAAGCAACCAAUCCAUGGCAUGGCUUCCCUUAACUAAUUCACUGCCUACGAGUUGCUGGCUCAUACACCAAAAUAAAAAGCUAUUUAUUAAAAAGUAGGACCAUAUUAGGAAUCUAUUUUAGAUAUCAAGAAAAAGAUACAAAGAUUGGCUACAUAGGAAGUAUUAUGUCUAAUUUGAUCAGUAUCUAAGCUACUGCUGACUUCCAUCUAUGAUUAGACUGAUGAUUCAAACAGUUGCUAUGAGGUCAUUCCUGGCAGUAUGCAGGGCAUAUCACUAAUUAAAGCAGCAUAGAUAUUUAGAUGACCCAAAGAAAAUGAACAAAAUAUAAAAUUAAACAUCUACUCUCAACCACUUAAGAGUAGUGGAAAAUGCUCGUAAAGAUGAUCUAAAUUUUCAAACAGUUAUAACAUAACAUUAUUUAAGUUUGAACGAGUGUCAUGCCCAAUAGCAGGAGAUCAAAGAGCAAUGAGCUAUGUACUCAAGUCUCAAAUGAAGCAAUUAUUAAUUUAGUAUAUCUACCACAGAGAUAAAAUAUAUCUAUCAUGUCCCUUCCAUGUAAUGCAGGCCACGGACAUAUUGAAUAUUUAAACUGUGUUAUGUCCACGAAUUUGUAGAAUUCAAUUGAAUUC